rnacentral:rRNA from 1 species
UUUUCGGACAACGGAAGGUGAGGACAGUGGCGGACGGGUGAGUACGCGUGAGGAACCUGCCUUUCAGAGGGGGACAACAGUUGGAAACGACUGCUAAUACCGCAUAACGCAUAGGUAUCGCAUGGUACUUAUGCCAAAGAUUUAUCGCUGAAAGAUGGCCUCGCGUCUGAUUAGCUGGUUGGUGAGGUAACGGCCCACCAAGGCGACGAUCAGUAGCCGGACUGAGAGGUUGACCGGCCACAUUGGGACUGAGAUACGGCCCAGACUCCUACGGGAGGCAGCAGUGGGGAAUAUUGGGCAAUGGGCGCAAGCCUGACCCAGCAACGCCGCGUGAAGGAAGAACGCUUUCGGGUUGUAAACUUCUUUUGGCAGGGAAGAGGAGAAGACGGUACCUGCCGAAAUAGCCACGGCUAACUACGUGCCAGCAGCCGCGGUAAUACGUAGGUGGCAAGCGUAGUCCCGGAUUUACUGGGUGU